GACGAACGCUGGCGGCGUGCCUAAUACAUGCAAGUCGACCUUACUGGCGAACGGGUUCGUAACACGUGGGUAACCUGCCCGUCAGACGGGUAUAACACUUGGCAACUGGUGCUUAUACCGUAUACUGAUGGAUGGACCCGGGGGGCAUUAGCUAGUGGGUGGGGUAACGGCUCACCAAGGCCACGAUGCAUAGCCGACCGUAGAGGGUGACCAGCCACAUUGGGACUGAGACACGGCCCAGACUCCUACGGGAGGCAGCAGUGGGGAAUAUUGGGCAAUGGACGAAAGUCUGACGGAGCCACGCCGCGUGAGUGAAGAAGGUCUUCGGAUCGUAAAACUCUGUUGUUAGAGAAGCGUUACCUAAACAGAAAGCAACGGCUAACUACGUGCCAGCCGCCGCGGUAAUUC
rnacentral:rRNA from 1 species